AGUUGGCUCAGUGGUAGAGUGCUUGCCUUGUAUGCAAGAGGCCCUGAGUUCAAGUCCUCAGCACUA
rnacentral:tRNA from 1 species